GACGAACGCUGGCGGCGUGCUUAACACAUGCAAGUCGAACGGAAAGGCCCAGCUUGCUGGGUACUCGAGUGGCGAACGGGUGAGUAACACGUGGGUGAUCUGCCCUGCACUCUGGGAUAAGCCUGGGAAACUGGGUCUAAUACCGGAUAUGAUCAACUGUCGCAUGGUGGUUGGUGGAAAGCUUUUGCGGUGUGGGAUGGGCCCGCGGCCUAUCAGCUUGUUGGUGGGGUAAUGGCCUACCAAGGCGACGACGGGUAGCCGACCUGAGAGGGGGAUCGGGCACACUGGGACGGAGACACGGCCCAGACUCCUGCGGGAGGCAGCAGUGGGGAAUAUUGAACAAUGGGCGCAAGCCUGAUGCAGCGACGCCGCGUGAGGGAUGACGGGCUUCGGGUUGUAAACCUCUUUCACCAGGGACGAAGCGUGAGUGACGGUACCUGGAGAAGAAGCACCGGCCAACUACGUGCCAACAGCCGCCGCGG
rnacentral:rRNA from 1 species